rnacentral:rRNA from 1 species
AUUGAACGCUGGCGGAAUGCUUUACACAUGCAAGUCGAACGGCAGCACGGGGGCAACCCUGGUGGCGAGUGGCGAACGGGUGAGUAAUACAUCGGAACGUGCCCGGUCGUGGGGGAUAACGUAGCGAAAGUUACGCUAAUACCGCAUACGAUCUGAGGAUGAAAACGGGGGACCUUCGGGCCUCGCGCGAUCGGAGCGGCCGAUGUCAGAUUAGGUAGUUGGUGGGGUAAAGGCCUACCAAGCCGACGAUCUGUAGCUGGUCUGAGAGGACGACCAGCCACACUGGGACUGAGACACGGCCCAGACUCCUACGGGAGGCAGCAGUGGGGAAUUUUGGACAAUGGGCGCAAGCCUGAUCCAGCCAUGCCGCGUGCAGGACGAAGGCCUUCGGGUUGUAAACUGCUUUUGUAUGGAACGAAAAGGCUCUGGCUAAUACCUGGGGCUCAUGACGGUACCGUAAGAAUAAGCACCGGCUAACUACGUG